rnacentral:tRNA from 1 species
GGUGGCUUAGUGGUAGAGUGCUUGCCUUGCAUGCAAGAGGCCCUGGGUUCGAUUCCUCAGCACCA